rnacentral:lncRNA from 1 species
ACAAUUUGGUACUCGCGACUUUUUAUAAUUUGAUAGAAUUGCUGCAUAAGUAUAAUUUCUCUCUCAUGUAUUUUUAUUGAAAUAGGUAUUUGGUGCUUGGGAUAUCUAUAUAAAGUUAUUGGUUGAUAAAAGGCUCUAUAGUUGAUAUCCAAGAUUGUAAUUUCAAAUCUAAUUAUUUUAUAUUUUCAGCUAAACUUGCUUUUUAAAAAAUAAACAAAUUUCUAGCUAUAUUUAUUUUUUAAAAAAAUAAACGAAUCGAAUAGUAUAUUAUUUUUUAAAAAAAUAUUAAACUAUUUUACUAUAUUCUAACUCUUUAAGGUUUAUUUUGGCGUACUCUACUGUCCUACCCGGGGCAGAGCUCAUUUACUGUCCUACCCGGGGCAGAGCUCAUUAUAUAGAAGGCAAAAACGUAUGGAACUUGCUCUAAUUAUGGCCCAUUUAAUUUUUUAAAAAUUUAAUUUUAUCGUCUAACUAUUUAAUUUGUUUAAUUUGAAUUAAUCAACUUGGUUUUAAAUUUUAAAUAUAUUUUAUUUUUACAAAUUUAGUUAAUAUAUUUCAUGCAAAUCUUAUAUAUAUAUAUAUAUAUAUUUAUUAAAUUAAGUAAUUAGCUUAAGUUUUAAUAACAAAGUACUGUUGAUUUUAAAAGAUUAGACAGUAAAUUUAAAACUUUGAAAGACUGAGGAACCAAAUCAAAAUAGUUCAUAGCCCAGAUAUUUGUUUUAUAUAUUUUUACCGUACUAGAAAUAUUAUUCGCCUCGCAUGCUGUAUAUAUCCCAUAAUGUUUAUAUACCUCUAUCGUGGAAACGAUUCAAAAUCAAAAUUUGAUUUUAUUCAAUAUUAUUGUAUAAUAUUUAGAAUAUUCAAAUAUUAAAAAUAAAUAAACAAUACAAAUUU